GUACGAUGAUGACCAACUUAGGACACCUUUGUAGGUUAAGACCUAUGAAAACACACCAUGUUCCGAGUACA
ensembl:snoRNA SNORD58 Small nucleolar RNA SNORD58